UACGGGGGAAGCAAGCGUUGUUCGGAUUUACUGGGCGUAAAGGGCGCGUAGGCGGUCAGCACAAGUCAGUUGUGAAAUCUCCGAGCUUAACUCGGAAAGGUCAACUGAUACUGUGCGACUAGAGUGCAGAAGGGGCAACUGGAAUUCUCGGUGUAGCGGUGAAAUGCGUAGAUAUCGAGAGGAACACCUGCGGCGAAGGCGGGUUGCUAGGCUGACACUGACGCUGAGGCGCGAAAGCUAGGGGAGCGAACGGG
rnacentral:rRNA from 1 species